GAAACAAUCCGAUCAGGAUAGUUUUGUGGUUCGAAUCCUAUCAUCUACAGGCUCGACCCCUGGGAGUAGAUUCUGAAAGCAGUGGCGAGAUCUCAGGAGAACAAAGCCACACAAAGUAGGGUUCUGUUCACAAUGUUCACAAGAAUUAAUGAGACACACAA